UGAACGCUGGCGGUAGGCCUAACACAUGCAAGUCGAACGGCAGCACAGUAAGAGCUUGCUCUUACGGGUGGCGAGUGGCGGACGGGUGAAGAAUACAUCGGAAUCUACUUUUUCGUGGGGGAUAACGUAGGGAAACUUACGCUAAUACCGCAUACGACCUACGGGUGAAAGCAGGGGAUCUUCGGACCUUGCGCGAUUGAAUGAGCCGAUGUCGGAUUAGCUAGUUGGCGGGGUAAAGGCCCACCAAGGCGACGAUCCGUAGCUGGUCUGAGAGGAUGAUCAGCCACACUGGAACUGAGACACGGUCCAGACUCCUACGGGAGGCAGCAGUGGGGAAUAUUGGACAAUGGGCGCAAGCCUGAUCCAGCCAUACCGCGUGGGUGAAGAAGGCCUUCGGGUUGUAAAGCCCUUUUGUUGGGAAAGAAAAGCAGCAGGUUAAUACCCCGCUGUUCUGACGGUACCCAAAGAAUAAGCACCGGCUAACUUCGUG
rnacentral:rRNA from 1 species